rnacentral:rRNA from 1 species
AUUGAACGCUGGCGGCAGGCCUAACACAUGCAAGUCGAGCGAGCGGCGGACGGGUGAGUAAUGGCUGGGAAACUGCCUGAUGGAGGGGGAUAACUACUGGAAACGGUAGCUAAUACCGCAUACCAUGAGAUGUGCCCAGAUGGGAUUAGCUCUUAGGUGGGGUAACGGCUUACCUAGGCGACGAUCCCUAGCUGGUCUGAGCGGAUGACCAGCCACACUGGAACUGAGACACGGUCCAGACUCCUCCGGGAGGCAGCAGUGGGGAAUAUUGCCAAAUGGGCGCAAGCCUGAUGCAGCCAUGCCGCGUGUAUGAAGGAGGCCUUCGGGUAGUAAAGUACUUUCAGCGGGGAGGCUUUACCCGCAGAAGAAGCACCGGCUAACUCCGUGCCAGCCGCCGCGGUAAUAC